AGCGAACGCUGGCGGCAGGCCUAACACAUGCAAGUCGAACGGACCCUUCGGGGUUAGUGGCGGACGGGUGAGUAACACGUGGGAACGUGCCUUUAGGUUCGGAAUAGCUCCUGGAAACGGGUGGUAAUGCCGAAUGUGCCCUUCGGGGGAAAGAUUUAUCGCCUUUAGAGCGGCCCGCGUCUGAUUAGCGAGUUGGUGGUGUAACGGACCACCAAGGCGACGAUCAGUAGCUGGUCUGAGAGGAUGAUCAGCCACAUUUGGACUGAGACACGGCCCAAAAUCCUACGGGAGGCAGCAGUGGGGAAUCUUGCGCAAUGGGCGAAAGCCUGACGCAGCCAUGCCGCGUGAAUGAUGAAGGUCUUAGGAUUGUAAAAUUCUUUCACCGGGGACGAUAAUGACGGUACCCGGAGAAGAAGCCCCGGCUAACUUCGUGCCAGCCGCCGCGGUAAAAC
rnacentral:rRNA from 1 species